CCUCCAGUCGGAGGAGACAAGACCAGCUGAGGAUCCGGCGAGAGUUACGAGCCUGAGUAAAACCUUGGUCUUGGAUGUCCAGCUUACAGACACAGAUGAAGGGAGUACCACAUUUGAACCACCUCUGAGAGUCUUUGUUGAGAAAGCCCAGGAAAGCAACGGAGUCUGUUUGCUCUCCUUCCGAAGGGCUGGGUUACAGGCUCACCUUCACAGCGAGGGACAGUAGAGCUCCAGACCACAUUCCCAUCUUGCAGGAUGCAGGUGAUGGACUCAGAACCCUGGGUCUUCACAAAGCCAUCAUCACAAUGGAAGGACACAGAGCUUCCCAGCAGAAACCUGUCUCCAAAACGCCGUCCAUUCACAGGAAUCCCAGGGUCAUGGCACUCAUUCUGACCAAACGCUGAAGCAUGAGACAGAAAAGUCAGUAAAAUAAAGAUGUUUAAAUACUAAUUACAUGUCCUGGAAAAGGAAACGUCAUAUUUACAAAACAACGAUGUAACAAAAUUCCACAUCUAUUGUUCAUAGAUAAAUCUAUCAAACCAAUUGGAUAUCAGUGUAAGAGAGGAGAGGAAGAGGGACAUGUAAAGUGAUGAAGCCCUGUGCCUGUCAUCUCCAUAGCAUGUUGCUAGUAGAACGGGAAGAACACAGCACAGGUGGAAAACAGGGAGUCCAGGAGAACUCUGACCUGUUAGAACUCUGCUUUUAGCCUAGCCAUGUGAUGUAAGGCAUAAGAGAAAUCUUAUGAUCUAGACUUGUCUAUUUUUGUUUAAAACAUGAAAAAUAUUAAGCUUAUAUCCCACAGUUACUGUAACACUGUUUAAAAUAAAUAUGGCUAAAUUCUAAACAACGAAUA